GAUGAACGCUGGCGGCGUGCCUAAUACAUGCAAGUCGAGCGAACGGACGAGAAGCUUGCUUCUCUGAUGUUAGCGGCGGACGGGUGAGUAACACGUGGAUAACCUACCUAUAAGACUGGGAUAACUUCGGGAAACCGGAGCUAAUACCGGAUAAUAUUUUGAACCGCAUGGUUCAAAAGUGAAAGACGGUCUUGCUGUCACUUAUAGAUGGAUCCGCGCUGCAUUAGCUAGUUGGUAAGGUAACGGCUUACCAAGGCAACGAUGCAUAGCCGACCUGAGAGGGGGAUCGGCCACACUGGAACUGAGACACGGUCCAGACUACUACGGGAGGCAGCAGUAGGGAAUCUUCCGCAAUGGGCGAAAGCCUGACGGAGCAACGCCGCGUGAGUGAUGAAGGUCUUCGGAUCGUAAAACUCUGUUAUUAGGGAAGAACAUAUGUGUAAGUAACUGUGCACAUCUUGACGGUACCUAAUCAGAAAGCCACGGCUAACUACGUG
rnacentral:rRNA from 1 species